rnacentral:rRNA from 1 species
GACGAACGCUGGCGGCGUGCUUAACACAUGCAAGUCGAACGAAGUGGCGAACGGGUGAGUAACGCGUAAUCAACCUGCCCUUCAGAGGGGGACAACAGGUGGAAACGACUGCUAAUACCGCAUACUGAAGGAGGGGAUUGCGUUGGAUUCGCUAGUUGGAGGGGUAACGUCCCACCAAGGCGAUGAUCAGUAGCCGGUCUGGGGGGAUGAACGGCAAAAUUGGAACUGGGAAACGGCCCAGACCUCUACGGGAGGCAGCAGGGGGGAAUCUUCCGCAAUGGACGAAAGUCUGACGGAGCAACGCCGCGGGAGUGAUGACGGCCUUCGGGUUGUAAAGCUCUGUUAAUCGGGACGCGGUACCGGAAUAGAAAGCCACGGCUAACUACGUGCCAGCAGCCGCGGUAAUUC